rnacentral:sRNA from 1 species
UAUCUCUCCGUACGGGGAAGGAUGAGAAGCUUCGACUAAGGUUCGAUUCGAGCGCAGCGAGAAAGCGUUGCCGCAGGCAACGACCCGAAGGGCGAAGCGCGCAGCGCUGAGUCAUCCUUCCCC